GGUGGCUCAGCAGUAGAGUGCUUGCCUCACAUGCAUGAAAUCCUGGGUUCGAUUCCUCAGCACCA
rnacentral:tRNA from 1 species